rnacentral:rRNA from 1 species
UACGGGGGGGGCAAGCGUUGUUCGGAAUUACUGGGCGUAAAGGGCGCGUAGGCGGCUCGCUAAGUCGGAUGUGAAAACUCUGGGCUCAACCCAGAGCCUGCAUUCGAAACUGACGAGCUGGAGUUCUGGAGGGGAAAGCGGAAUUCCUGGUGUAGCGGUGAAAUGCGUAGAUAUCAGGAGGAACACCGAUGGCGAAGGCAGGUCUCUGGGCAUUAACUGACGCUGAGGAGCGAAAGCAUGGGGAGCGAACAGG